AGUCUGACGGAGCAACGCCGCGUGAACGAAGAAGGUUUUCGGAUCGUAAAGUUCUGUUGUUAGGGAAGAACAAGUACCGUUCAAAUAGGGCGGUACCUUGACGGUACCUAUCGAGGAAGCCCCGGCUAACUACGUGCCAGCAGCCGCGGUAAUACGUAGGGGGCAAGCGUUGUCCGGAAUUAUUGGGCGUAAAGCGCGCGUAGGCGGUUUCUUAAGUCUGAUGUGAAAUCUUGCGGCUCAACCGCAAGCGGCCAUUGGAAACUGAGGAACUUGAGUGCAGAAGAGGAGAGCGGAAUUCCACGUGUAGCGGUGAAAUGCGUAGAUAUGUGGAGGAACACCAGUGGCGAAGGCGGCUCUCUGGUCUGUAACUGACGCUGAGGUGCGAAAGCGUGGGGAGCGAACAGGAUUAGAUACCCUGGUAGUCCACGCCGUAAACGAUGAGUGCUAGGUGUUAGGGGGUUUCCGCCCCUUAGUGCUGCAGUUAACGCAUUAAGCACUCCGCCUGGG
rnacentral:rRNA from 1 species